rnacentral:rRNA from 1 species
CGUGAGGUGGAGCGAACCCCUAAAAAUCGUCCCAGUUCAGAUUGCAGUCUGCAACUCGACUGCAUGAAGUCGGAAUCGCUAGUAAUCGCGGAUCAGCAUGCCGCGGUGAAUACGUUCCCGGGCCUUGUACACACCGCCCGUCACACCAUGAGAGUCGGGAACACCCGAAGUCCGUAGCCUAACCGCAAGGGGGGCGCGGCCGAAGGUGGGUUCGAUAAUUGGGGUGAAGUCGUAACAAGGUACC